CCAGUGUUCGGGGCCGUUUUGGCGGCUAUGCGGGAUUGGCCGGAGCUGCGGUGCUCACACUUGCCUCGCCGACCGCCAUUUCACAUCCAGCAGAGGAGGCGGGGGCAGCCGCUGAGAGGGUUUUUCACAAGUUAUGAAAUUGGAUGUGCCAUACAACAUGCUCUUCAGCUGGUCAGAAAACAAAAGUAUUUUUUCAAGGCCUGGCUGACUGUUGUGUCAUCUUCCACAUGCACUUGUGGGCCCACAGCUGAACAGGAGGCAAAGAGAUGCAAAAA